CUCUCCUAAAGAUUAUACAGGGGAAAAAAGAUUACACAGGGAAAAAAAGGAAAGGAGAAACAAAGCUGUGGAGCUUAGUAGCCUACAAUGAAGGCAAUACUAUCACCGCCACCACCAAGAUCAAACAUCUUCUGCUCCCAUCAUGAGUGUUUCUUUCUCUCUGUAUAUCCCACUUCGCCGCUGCAGAAGCCACCUCGCUUAGACG
rnacentral:misc_RNA from 1 species